rnacentral:rRNA from 1 species
UACGUAGGGGGCAAGCGUUGUCCGGAGUUACUGGGCGUAAAGCGCACGCAGGCGGUCUCUUAAGUUUGGAGUGACAGUUGGUGGCUUAACUGCCAAAGUGCUUCGAAAACUGAGAGACUUGAGGGCUUCAGAGGGACACGGAAUCCGGGUGGAGUGGUGAAAUGCGUAGAUAUUCGCAAGAACACCAGUGGCGAAGGCGGCUCACUGGCCCGAUACUGACGCUGGACGGUGCGAAAGCGUGGGGAGCAAA